rnacentral:rRNA from 1 species
CCCUUAGAUGUUCUGGGCUGCACGCGUGCUACAAUGGCGCUUGCAACAAGUCUUGCCAACCCGAUAGGGUGAGCGGAUCUUUGAAGAGGCGUCGUGAUCGGGACAGUUGAUUGCAAUUAUUCGACUCGAACGAGGAAUUCCUUGUAAUCGCGAUUCAUCAUAUCGCGCUGAAUACGUCCCUGCCCUUUGUACACACCGCCCGUCGCUCCUACCGAUUGAGCGAUCCGGUGAAUGUUUUGGACUGACGUCAGAAGCGGUUCGCUCCUGACACUACGAAAUUUUGUAAACCUUAUCGCUUAGAGGAAGGAAAAGUCGUAACA